rnacentral:rRNA from 1 species
GAUGAACGCUGGCGGCGUGCCUAAUACAUGCAAGUCGAGCGAACGGACGAGAAGCUUGCUUCUCUGAUGUUAGCGGCGGACGGGUGAGUAACACGUGGAUAACCUACCUAUAAGACUGGGAUAACUUCGGGAAACCGGAGCUAAUACCGGAUAAUAUUUUGAACCGCAUGGUUCAAAAGUGAAAGACGGUCUUGCUGUCACUUAUAGAUGGAUCCGCGCUGCAUUAGCUAGUUGGUAAGGUAACGGCUUACCAAGGCAACGAUGCAUAGCCGACCUGAGAGGGUGAUCGGCCACACUGGAACUGAGACACGGGCCAGACUCCUACGGGAGGCAGCAGAAGGGAAUUUUCCGCAAUGGGCGAAAGCCUGACGGAGCAACGCCGCGUGAGUGAUGAAGGUCUUCGGAUCGUAAAACUCUGUUAUUAGGGAAGAACAUAUGUGUAAGUAACUGUGCACAUCUUGACGGUACCUAAUCAGAAAGCCACGGCUAACUACGUG